CACCAGCCCCUCGAGUGGUGGGGAUGAUUAUUUGGCCUAAAGCGUCCGUAGCCGGCUGUACAAGUCUCCCGUUAAACUCAACGUCUCAAGCGUUGGCAUGCGAGAGAUACUGUAUAGCUAGAGGGUGGGAGAGGUCAGCGGUAUUCCUGGGGUAGGGGCGAAAUCCUUUGAUCCCAGGAGGACCACCAGUGGCGAAGGCUGCUGACUAGAACACGCCUGACGGUCAGGGACGAAAGCUGGGGUAGCGAACCGGAUUAGAUACCCGGGUAGUCCCAGCCGUAAACGAUGCAUGCUAGGUGUUGGGUUGGCCACGAGCCACCCCAGUGCCGCAGGGAAGCCGUUAAGCAUGCCGCCUGGGAAGUACGAUCGCAAGAUUGAAACUUAAAGGAAUUGGCGGGGAGCACCACCAGGCGUGAAGCCUGCGGUUU
rnacentral:rRNA from 1 species